AUGGACGACGACGGCAGCUUGAGCAUUCGGAAUUGGGGCUUCUAUGAGACGAUGAAAGGCAACCUCGGCCUGCAGCUGAUGCCAUCUGUGGCCGGCGGCCACCGGGACACAAAGCCGCUGCUCCCCAACGGCACCUUCUUGCAGCACCACAACGCCCCGCACCACCCGCCGCAUUCACAUCAUCCCCGCGACUAUGGUAACGGCGAACCCUCUGGUGGCAUGCCCACCGAGCCGCCGGCUAUUCACAUGGACUUUGUGCGCAACGAGGCCUGGAUGCACCCCUCGCAGCAUCAGCAUCAGCACCAGCACCACCACCAGAACCAACAUCAACAGCAGCAUCAGCAUCAGCAUCAACAUUCCCGUGAGCAGAAGGUCCUUCAUGCUGUUCCUCUUGGGCCUCCUGGACAUAUUGGACAUCCUGGACAUGCUGUGCAUCACCACCCUACAGAUUUUGGGAUGAUGCCAGAUGCGCGUGGUGCGCACACUCUCCAGAUGAUGCAGCCACAGGAGCCUCCUGUGCCUGAGGAGGAAAAAAUUGCCCCACCGUUGGUUGAAGAGCAUUCUGUGGUCGGAAGCAAGCCUCUGGUAAAGAAGAGGCAGCAAGGUCGUCAGCCUAAGUUGCCGAAGCCGAAGAAACCUAAGAAGGUUGCUACUCCAGGCGAAGAUGGGGCACCCAAGGCCCGUGCACCCCGAAGCAGGGGUCCUCUUAAGCCUGUGGAAAUGGUAAUUAAUGGUAUUGAUUUUGACAUUUCAAGGAUACCAACACCUGUGUGCUCAUGCACUGGAGCUCCCCAGCAAUGCUACCGGUGGGGUGCAGGUGGCUGGCAGUCUGCAUGCUGCACAACUUCUAUUUCGACAUAUCCGCUGCCAAUGAACACAAAGCGCCGGGGCGCACGUAUUGCUGGAAGGAAGAUGAGCCAAGGUGCAUUCAAAAAGGUUCUUGAGAAGCUAGCUGGUGAAGGGUACAACCUUAAUAAUCCAAUUGACUUGAAGACCUUCUGGGCCAAACAUGGCACAAACAAGUUUGUAACAAUCAGGUAA
rnacentral:rRNA from 1 species